rnacentral:rRNA from 1 species
UACGUAGACAGCGAGCGUUGUUCGGAAUUACUGGGCGUAAAGAGUGUGUAGGCGGUGCUCCCAGUCUGUUGUGAAAUCUCCCGGCUUAACUGGGAGGGUGCAGCGGAAACUAGAGUGCUAGAGGGUGGGAGAGGUAAGCGGAAUUCCUGGUGUAGCGGUGAAAUGCGUAGAUAUCAGGAGGAACACCUGUGGUGUAGACAGCUUACUGGACCACUUCUGACGCUGAGACACGAAAGCGUGGGUAGCAAACAGG